GGCAUUGCACUCCACAUCUUCUAAGACCCUUAGAAGGUGGCCUUUCCGUUCUGCGGGUGAGAGGAGGCCCUGGGGCUUAGGGUAGUUAGAGAUCACCAACUUGUUUGGCACAAGUAUCAUCCCCAAUCCCCCACAUCUGGAACAUCAAAGUUCUUUACCCAUUUCUUUUCAUUGUUGUCCUUGUUUUCCUUUCUUUUAGCAAAGACAGUUUCCCAGGGAUCCUGUAUGACUUGUGGGUCUGCUGGUAUUGCUGGGUCACACAGGAGGGGUGUCGCUUGAUUGACUUCCAGGACAUCAAGAACUGUUCUUGGCUUGAUCUGAUUUAUUGAUGUCUCGUUUUUAGAUUCCGGUUUACGGUUUAUUUUGUCUUUCUUAUCUUUAGGGGGCUUCGCCGUAGUACCUCGAUCUUUCUUCUUAUCUGUGUGUUUGUACUUGAGGAUCUUUUGAGAGUUUAAAUUUGAUUGUUUUACUGUGGAUGUGGACACUUUCUUCCUUUCUUGAUCUUUUUGAAAACUUCUGCAUUUGUACUUUAUCCUUUUGUAAGCCUUGCUGUGUUUGGAGGAACUUAUGUUGUUGUUUUUGUUCCUUGUCUUUUUUUCCAGAUGCCCUUUUGUGCUGGAGUCGUUGACCUCCGUGUCUUGAUUUAAAGUUGGGAAGGUUUUCUCCUUGCUUGCUUCCUGUUUGACCAUAAAUUGUGUUAUUGUAAUCAGGAGGGCAUUGGUUUCUGCAAGGUAAAUCUUGAUAGCCUGAAUAUCAGAGUUCAAACUGUUUAAUUGAUUGACCAGAUCCUCUGCAAUGAGUGGUUUUUUGAAGGCCUCUGAUGUUAGAUUUGGCUCUAGAUCGCCCUCUGUUGUAUUCACAGGGACCCCCACCACGUCUUCAUUGGGGGAUGUUAAAACAUGCCUCCUGUGCCCUCUCCUACGGUCCAGAUUAUCCAAAUUGUCAGUAGCGAAGGCAAACUCCUCAGCAAUACUUAUGCCUGAGUUCUCAUAAGGAUUAAAAAUUACCCGACAGUGAUCUAGGGUCCAGUCGAGAGGCGAAGCUGAGGGGGUGUUCUGUUCUUGCUCUGGCUCCUGUAUUUUGACUAUGGGAGAGAAGAACACUGAUGCAAUUUCAUUCCAAAGAGGAUUGAAGACACUGAAGUCAUCAGAAUAUGAUGAGAUGGAAAACUUUUUGUUGUUGUUCACUUUAACCACUGCUUAUUUUACAUUCUGAUGGGUUUGCAUCCUAUUUACAAGCAAACCACUUCUGUGAUAAUAACCCUUGUGCAUAUUGGUUUAAAUAAGAAUGGGGCUUUUGAACUGAAUUCAUUAUUUUGUCUGACAUGCCUUAUUUAUGUUAUCCUCACUGAGGAUUAACUAUUGUAUGUGUUAGCUUACUGAUAUCCCUUUACAAAUCGGCUUUCUCCUACUGCCUAUUCAGAACACUGUUUCUCAAGGACUUGAAAAUUAGUUUUCUACAAUGUUCUUCUCUGAAGGGGAAAGGGAGACUCAUGAGGGUGCCAGGUCGCCCUGCUCUCUUGAUCAGCUUCACAACUCAAGUCACUGCUUUGGGUACACUGGGCUUCCCAUGUAAAGAUCUACACCACACAUGUCUGCAGUUUGCACAUAGCCCUCGUGUGUUACAGAGUGCAGGUGUUGGUAUUUAUACAACUGAGCCAUCCAAUGUGUGCAAGGAAAGUUGAUGAUUUUGUUUGAUAAGAACUGAAUAUUGUAUCAUUUAGUGGGUGGAAGGAAUGUGGAGAUGGAAAAAAUUCAAAUGUGGGAGUAGGAAAUCUAACAGAUUUGUCCAACUGUUCAAAGGCCUUUGAGCUGAAUUAUUAAAUUUAUUAAAAGCUUAAUUUUUACA